rnacentral:rRNA from 1 species
UACAGAGGUCUCAAGCGUUGUUCGGAUUCAUUGGGCGUAAAGGGUGCGUAGGCGGCGCGGUAAGUCGGGUGUGAAAUCUCGGAGCUUAACUCCGAAACUGCAUUCGAUACUGCCGUGCUUGAGGACUGGAGAGGAGACUGGAAUUUACGGUGUAGCGGUGAAAUGCGUAGAUAUCGUAAGGAAGACCAGUGGCGAAGGCGGGUCUCAGGACAGUUCCUGACGCUAAGGCACGAAGGUCAGGGGAGCAAACGGG